ACAUAGUCAGGUGCCCAGAUCCUGAAUAUGCUGAGAAAAUGAUUGCUGCCAUUGACGCUGUUCGUGUGAGGGGGGAAUCAAUUGGUGGUGUUGUCACAUGCAUUGUGAAGAACUGUCCACCUGUAUGUGUCUCUCUCCCUCCCUAAACACACUGUUGGCAUGCGAAUAUUUCUGCGUCUAAAAGUCUUAUUUUCAUAUCUCAAGAUAUUUCUAUAUUUUUAAAAUUUUGUUGAAGUAAUGAGGAUUACAAAUUUCAUCAGGGGCUUGGUUCACCAGUUUUUGACAAACUUGAAGCUGAGUUUGCUAAAGCUGUUUUGUCAUUACCAGCAUCGAAGGGCUUUGAAAUUGGCAGU
rnacentral:lncRNA from 1 species